rnacentral:rRNA from 1 species
UAGGGAAUCUUCCGCAAUGGACGCAAGUCUGACGGAGCAACGCCGCGUGAGUGAAGAAGGAUUUCGAUUCGUAAAACUCUGUUGUUAGAGAAGAACAGCGCAUAGAGUAACUGUUAUGCGUGUGACGGUAUCUAACCAGAAAGCCACGGCUAACUACGUGCCAGCAGCCGCGGUAAUACGUAGGUGGCAAGCGUUGUCCGGAUUUAUUGGGCGUAAAGCGAGCGCAGGCGGUCAAUUAAGUCUGAUGUGAAAGCCCCCGGCUCAACCGGGGAGGGUCAUUGGAAACUGGUUGACUUGAGUGCAGAAGAGGAGAGUGGAAUUCCAUGUGUAGCGGUGAAAUGCGUAGAUAUAUGGAGGAACACGAGUGGCGAAGGCGACUCUCUGGUCUGUAACUGACGCUGAGGUUCGAAAGCGUGGGUAGCAAACAGG